UGGGGAAUAUUGGGCAAUGGGCGAAAGCCUGACCCAGCAACGCCGCGUGAGGGAAGAAGGUCUUCGGAUUGUAAACCUCUGUCCUUGGGGACGAAGGACGUGACGGUACCCAAGGAGGAAGCUCCGGCUAACUACGUGCCAGCAGCCGCGGUAAUACGUAGGGAGCGAGCGUUGUCCGGAAUUACUGGGCGUAAAGGGUGCGUAGGCGGCAUGGCAAGUCAGAUGUGAAAUCCCCGGGCUUAACCCGGGAGCUGCAUUUGAAACUGUCGUGCUUGAGUGCAGGAGAGGAAAGCGGAAUUCCUAGUGUAGCGGUGAAAUGCGUAGAUAUUAGGAGGAACACCAGUGGCGAAGGCGGCUUUCUGGACUGCAACUGACGCUGAGGCACGAAAGCGUGGGGAGCAAACAGG
rnacentral:rRNA from 1 species